UGUAUUAUCACAGAGGUAUCAAAAUUAUUACAUGAUAACUAUUAGAAUGCAAGACAGAGUGGAAUGGCCCAUCUUUUUUUGGAAGAUGAUGCAGAACUGGACCAUAGUUUGGCAAUAUUUAUGAUAAACAGCAAAUACAUACACUGGAGUGCAGCUCUGUUAAACUCUUAAUAGGUUUAAAAACCAUAUGGCAGUGUUCCCAUAAUUACACCACUCUGUUAAGUCAGAUGUACAGUACAGAGGAACAGUGAGAGAGUCAACUGUGUUAUGUUCUCCAUGGACCUUGGAAUUGUGCCCCAAGAAAAUAUCAGCCUCAUUCUUCCAUAAGGGUGAUGGUGAGUAUCAGCAUCUGGUUCAUUACAUCAUGGGUUUUUCCAAAUGUACUUGAUACUUCCUCGUAAGCAAGCUGGUAAAAUUGAACAUUACCAACUCAACUAUUUUGUCACAAUAUGCUGUUUAGUGAAUAAACACAUUUAAGGAUGAUAAUAAUGCUUAUAAUGAAAGACUGUUUUCUUAUGUCCACGAG